rnacentral:rRNA from 1 species
GAUGAACGCUAGCUACAGGCCUAACACAUGCAAGUCGAGGGGAAACGGCAGCUUAGCUUGCUAAGCUGGACGUCGACCGGCGCACGGGUGAGUAACGCGUAUCCAACCUGCCCCACGGUGAGGGAUAACCCGCGGAAACGCGGCCUAAUACCUCAUGGCCUCCGAGCUUGACAUCAACCUUGGAGUAAAGAUUCAUUGCCGUGGGAUGGGGAUGCGUCUGAUUAGCUUGUUGGCGGGGCAACGGCCCACCAAGGCUACGAUCAGUAGGGGUUCUGAGAGGAAAGCCCCCCACAUUGGAACUGAGACACGGUCCAAAACUCCUACGGGAGGCAGCAGUGAGGAAUAUUGGUCAAAUGGGGCGAGAGCCUGAACCAGCCAAGUAGCGUGCAGGAUGACGGCCCUAUGGGUUGUAAAACUGCUUUUAUGCGGGGAUAAAGCGGGCCACGUGUGGCCCUUUGCAGGUACCGCAUGAAUAAGGACCGGCUAAAUUCCGUG